ensembl:lincRNA
CCAAGCCUUGGAGCACUUAAGUCCCAGCAUGACUAGCAAACUUGAGACUCCUUUUGUUCUGGAUGACACCAUUGGAUUAGAAAACUUUCAACAUGUUGGGCCACAGAAAGAGAACCAACAGUUUAUCAAGGAAGUGGACUCGAGAACGACCAAUAGAAUUCUCCAGAAACAAAUGGCGACUGGUGCUGACACUCAUCCAGGGAAUGCAGACCCAGCGUUUGAAGGUGGCACCUCCUCGGAGCCUGGCUCAGCCCCCCUGGCCGACCCAGGUGCCUCCAGCUCUGCCCAGGGCCCAGGAAGUCCUGAAAGCCAAAUGGCUUCUCCAAGAAAAGUGUCUAGCAUCCCUGAGAGAGCUUUGGAGGAAAACAUUAGUUCUCGUCCCUCAGACAGAAGCAUGACAUCCACCUCCGAGGCCCUGGAAGACCCUCCCAGAAUAGCGUCCCCCCACAAUGCAGAGACUCCUCUCAGAGCCGAGGGAGAAACUGCACAUGGCGGGGCCUCUGCCUCCUUGGCCGAGGCUGCCGAGCCUCCUGGUACAAGCCCUGAAACAGCAUGUGGAGUGCCCCUGGCAGACCUUCCUGUCGAGGCCCUGGCCCCCCCUGAGAGUGUGGACACCCCCGGGCCCCUGCCGGCUGGCAGGGCCACAAGCCCAACCUCCGGUCCUGGGGCUGUUGAGAACUCAAGUCUGAGCCAGCAGCUGCGUCCAGCCUCAGUGGAGGACACACCUGUGGCGCAGAUGGCAGCUGAGACUCCAAGCACAGAGGGCAAGGUACGGGGUGUACGUGUGAGGGCUUAUGAUCCUGUACUGUCCAUGUGAAAAGUCUCGGGGUAUGGGAGGCACAGGUGACCUUGCGGUGACAGGAUGGGAUACCCUGCUGCCCUCGCCCCUGGGGUUCCUUUUGCUGAGAAUGGGUGAGGCAAAAUCCCACCCAGAGGGUCCUCAACUGCAAAGGGUGACCCUGACCUUCCCUCCAGGAGGGAAACUGGAAUUCUUCGGGCACAUCGGUUCCCACGAGCUGUCCAGGCAGUGAGGCAGUGCCCCCAACUCAGCAGGGGCCAGAGCCUGCCUUGGAGCCGAAGGAGGAGAGCUUCAGAGACCCUGCAGAGGGUAAGUUGCCUCAGGGCAGACGUCCUCUGGUUUGCUUUAAAUGUAUCCCCUGAGCAUUUGUGUUUGGUGGCUUGACUCCCCUGCAUCAUUGGCCAGUGGUCAUUCUAUAGGCUGGUCUGUCACCUAACAUUAAGUAAUUCAUACACAAACUUCUAGUUUAUCAAAAGAUAGGCAUUUUCAGUAGGAUAGGUCUCAUACAUUUCACUUAAAGGACUUCUAGAAAUAGAAUUUGUAUACUCAGAGAAAUCAGCCAAAGGCAAAAACAAGAUGACACACGGACAUGCAAACUUGUAAUUGCCAACUGGGCAUUCGUUGGUAAUCAGGGAAUCAAUGAAAUGAGAAGCUUAGUCCUUCAACACCAGGCUGUGGUGAAAUGUGGAUGGUAGAAUGGUCAUUAAAGUGCAUCGGAAGAGAAAAGUAUAAAUGAAGUGUGUUCAGUGAGUUAUAAUUGGAUUGGUUUAAAGGCUAUAAAGCAACUUUGUAAAAUCUCUGUUUGGAUUACUUAAAACCUCAGUCAUUGAGAAGACUGGAAGGUGAAUGUAGGUAGGGUUUAUCUCUGGCAGGAUAGUCAUGGGUUCUGGCCACAUGGGGAUAAGCUUAGCUGGGGUGGACCUGUCACCCCCAUGUGGGACCUCUGGAAUCACACACAACAUGAGCGUUUGGGUCUGGCCUCUGCCACGGAGCAUGGUGUUUCCAAGGCUCGUCCAUCUGCAGCAGGUGUCAGUGCCUUGUCCCCGAGGUGGCUGAAUAACAUUCAUAUUUUGUUAACUCAUCGGUGGACGUUUGGGGUGGUUCCACUUUUUAGCUGUUGUAAAUAAUGUCAUGAACAUUCAUGUCUUUAGCUUUUUGAUCUAUUUGGAGUUAAUUACUAUAUAUGGUUUGAGGCAAUCUUAAAAUUUUGUGUAGAAAUAUGUUUUCAUUCUUGGUUUUAUUUGAUACAAAGUCUACCUCUGUUACUCUGGCUAGAGUGCUGUGGUGUCAGCCUAGCUCACUGCAACCUCAAACUCUUAGGUUGAAGCGAUCCUCCUGUCUCAGCCUCCCGAGUAGCUGGGUCUACAGGCAUGCGCCACCAUACAGAGCUAAUUUUUUUCUAUAUAUUUUCUUUCUUUUUUUAUUCUUUUAGUGUAUUAUGGGGGUACAAGUGUUAAAGUAACUUUUAUUGCCCAUGCCCCCCUGCCCCCUUCUAUAUAUUUUUAUUUGGCCAAUUAAUUUCUAUUUUUAGUAGAGAUGGGGUCUCGCUCUUGCUCAGGCUGGUGUUGAACUCCUGACCUUGAGCAAAUCUCCUACCUCGGCCUCCCAGAGUGGUAAGAUUACAGGCGUGAGCCACCACACCCUGCCACGAUUUUAUUCUUUUGUAUGUAUACCUGGCAUUAGAAUUUCUAGAUCAUGGUGACUCUAUGCUCAACUUUUUGAGGAACUGCCGGACUGCUUUCCCGAGGGGCUGUACCCUUUUACAAUCCUACCAGCAGUGUGUAGGAGGUUUCCUCACCAACACUUGUUAUGUCUCACUGAUCCUGGCCGUCUGAUGGCUGCAAAGUGGUAUCUGGUUGUGGUUUUCAUUUGCAUUGCCCUGAUGGCUAAUGAACAUCUUUUGGGCAUCUAGUUUUAUAGCUUUAGCUCUUACAUUUUCUCUACGACGGCUGC